GAUACUUNGGGGANNNCGGUUAAGUCCCGCAACGAGGCGCACCCCUUGUCAUUAGUUGCUACGAAAGGGCACUCUAAUGAGACUGCCGGUGACAAACCGGAGGAAGGUGGGGAUGACGUCAAGUCCUCAUGGCCCUUAUGGGUAGGGCUUCACACGUCAUACAAUGGUCGGGACAGAGGGUCGCCAACCCGCGAGGGGGAGCCAAUCCCAGAAACCCGAUCGUAGUCCGGAUCGCAGUCUGCAGCUCGACUGCGUGAAGUCGGAAUCGCUAGUAAUCGCGGAUCAGCAUGUCGCGGUGUGUACACACCGCCCGUCCCGCCCA
rnacentral:rRNA from 1 species